rnacentral:rRNA from 1 species
UGGGGAAUAUUGCACAAUGGAGGGAACUCUGAUGCAGCGACGCCGCGUGAGUGAUGAAGGAAUUCGUUUCGUAAAACUCUGUUCUAGGGGAAGAAAAGGACUGUACCAUAGGAGAAAGCUCCGGCUAAAUACGUGCCAGCAGCCGCGGUAAUACGUAUGGAGCGAGCGUUGUCCGGAAGUAUUGGGCGUAAAGGGUGCGCAGGCGGCUUUACAAGUUGGAUGUGAAAUAUUGUGGCUCAACCACAAACGUGCAUCCAAAACUGCAAAGCUUGAGGUAAGGAGAGGUAAGUGGAAUUCCUGGUGUAGCGGUGGAAUGCGUAGAUAUCAGGAGGAAUAACGGUGGCGAAGGCGACUUACUGGACUUAAACUGACGCUCAGGCACGAAAGCGUGGGGAGCAAACAGG